rnacentral:lncRNA from 1 species
AUGGCCUUGCACUCAGGCCCAGGAGGAAAUCCCCGCGUCAUCAGACUUAGUGCUUACAACACCUGUUUUCUUCUGGGAUAUCUUUUCCUGCUAUGCAACCUCCUCUUCUGGUUUAGGAACAACCUGCUCUCUUUCAGUGAGGAUCAUCUUGAUGCAGCAGGGAGAGCUCAUGUAAGGGUGAAUCUGACCUGGAGCCCUGUGAGACACCUGUGCCACCUUGAAAAGAUAUGGAAAGCGUCUGUCCCAAAAGAAGGCAGAGAGCAACAUAAGCCUGCAGAAGGAGGUGGGAUCUGUUCCGCAGUCUUUAUGGGAUGACCUCCGCCUUUUUCUUUUUUAUGCUGUGAAUAUAAUUUAUAAUGUGUGGCAUGUGAACGGUGUUGUGGAGCUGGCUGGAGAUGGGAAGAAUGUCCUUCUAGCUCCAUCAUGCUGUUCUCCAAGAGGAGGGGAUCAAGAUCCAUCUGGGCAGAGGCUGCAUUUCAGCUGGAGCCACAUUUACCGGUGGGCCAGGCCGUGAAACUCGGACAGGUUCCAUGCGGCUCAUCAGCCUCUUUCCUCUUUCCUGUUUCUGUGGGCCUGAGAUGUGUUGAUGCGACCCUAUCUUGC